UUCCAUUCUCGUAAGACGGGUAAGAGCUGAAUGUAAACAAUCGAUUGGAAGAGUUCUAACUGCAGACCGUAUUUCAAUCAGGGUGUUAGAUAGAAAACCGGACUUUCUAUCAAACCUUGAUUUGAGGCUGGCAAUGGCUUGCAGGGCGGAAUCAUGGGAAUCUGGAUUUGAAGAAGGCAGUCCCCGGGUUACGACGGGGGUUCCGUUCUUGAGACGCGUCGUAAGCCGAAAAUCGUCGUAAGCCGGAACGACGCUUGGAAAUAUGUCUUAAACUAAUAAAAAGUUAUAAAAACAUUACUUGUAAUCCUUUGGUUACACUACAUGUUGUUUCCUGUAGUUUUAUGUACAACCUGGAGUUAUUUUCAUAAAAGAAUGCUGGUUCUUGAAGGUAAAAACUAUUGUAAUCCUCUGGUGACACUACAUUCUUGAAGUUUUAUGUACAACCUGGAGUGAUUUUGCAAAAUCUUGAGGGCUACAAGAACAGCUGAUUACUAUUUAUGUAUCAUAUAGACUAAUUAAAGUAAAUGUAUCUUUAAAUAGGCUUAUAUAUUAGUAUCAACAAAACAUUUCCUGCCAUGAGUCAGAGGCCGUUUAAUGAAACGAACACUUCUCUGUCCUAUCUGUUCAGAAAAUAAACGUUACGUCAAUCCCCGAGACCAUUGUUGCCAAAGCGUCUCUCUCUCUCUCUCUCUCUCUCUCUCUCUCUCUCUCUCUCUCUCUCUCUCUC